CCCAUGAUUAAAGUGGCUGGAGUAGAGUCAGUGUCAUUGACAGUGUGUUGGCAGUAGCCACUCAAUGUUAGUGGUGGCUGUUUAACAGUCUGAUGGCCUUGAGAUAGAAGCUGUUUUUCAGUCUCUCGGUCCCAGCUUUGAUGCACCUGUACUGACCUCGCCUUCUGGAUGACAGCGGGGUGAACAGGCAGUGGCUCGGGUGGUUGAUGUCCUUGAUGAUCUUUAUGGCCUUCCUGUAGCAUCGGGUGGUGUAGGUGUCCUGGAGGGCAGGUAGUUUGCCCCGGUGAUGCGUUGUGCCGCCCCGGUGAUGCGUUGUGCGAGAGAUCUGGGUAACUGAAGCUCCAGUAUAGAGAUCUGGGUAACUGAAGCUCCAGUAUAGAGAUCUGGGUAACUGAAGCUCCAGUAUAGAGAUCUGGGUAACUGAAGCUCCAGUAUAGAGAUCUGGGUAACUGAAGCUCCAGUAUAGAGAUCUGGGUAACUGAAGCUCCAGUAUAGAGAUCUGGGUAACUGAAGCUCCAGUAUAGAGAUCUGGGUAACUGAAGCUCCAGUAUAGUUAGGAAGCCUGAUGAACCAAACCACUCAUCUAUCUGAUAUCAACACAUUUCAUCACUUUACUGCAGACUGAAUGGGAUCUUUCCAGGGUAACUUGUCAUCUAUUAAAACUCCCUGGAAUCUACUGGAUGUGACUUGUUCCGUUUCAUUCACACCAAUUGAGAUUCUGGCUCUUUAACAAUAUUUCUUAUUCUUACUAUUGAAUACAAUAACAUAGGAUUUUGUUUUAUUUAAAGAUUAAUUGUGUAUUUGGAACCAUUCAGAAAAUUUGGCAAUGCCUGUGUUAGCUUAAUUAAUUAGUGAAUCAAAAGUAUUGUGUUAUAAAAUCUAAUUGAUGUCAUCAGCAAAGAGAAUGAGAAGUACAGUAGAAGACAAAGCAGUAAGGUUAUUGAUAUAGAUUAGAAUGGAUUGGUAGAAGACACGGUAACAAGGUUAUUGAUAUAGAUUCGAAUGGAUUGGUAGAAGACACAGCAACAAGGUUAUUGAUAUAGAUUAGAAUGGAUUGGUAGAAGACACAGCAACAAGGUUAUUGAUAUAGAUUAGAAUGGAUUGGUAGAAGACACAGCAACAAGGUUAUUGAUAUAGAUUAGUGUUAUGGUAGAAGACACAGUAACAAGGUUAUUGAUAUAGUUUAGUAUGUAAUGGUAGAAGACACAGCAACAAGGUUAUUGAUAUAGAUUAGUAUGGUAGAAGACCCAGCAGUAAGGUUAUUGAUAUAGAUUAGUAUGGAUUGGUAGAAGACAGCAACAAGGAUAUAGAUUAGUAUGGAAUGGUAGAAGACACAGUAACAAGGUAUUGAUAUAGAUUUGUAUGUUAUGGUAGAAGACACAGCAACAAGGUUAUUGAUAUAGAUUAUGUUAUGGUAGAAGACACAGCAACAAGGUUAUUGAUAUAGAUUAGUAUGGUAGAAGACACAGUAACAAGGUUAUUGUUAUAGAUUAGUAUGGUAGAAGACUCAGCAGUAAGGUUAUUGAUAUAGAUUAGUAUGGUAGAAGACUCAGCAGUAAGGUUAUUGAUAUAGAGUUGAAGUCUGAAGUUUACAUACACUUAGGUUGUAGUCAUUAAAACUCAUUUUUCAACCACUCCACACAUUUCUUGUUAACAAACUAUGGUUUUGGCAAGUCGGUUAGAUCUACUUUGUGCGUGACACAGGUCAAUUUUCCAACAAUUGAUUACAGACAGAUUAUUUCACUUAUAAUUCACUGUAUCACAAUUCCAGUGGGUCAGAAGUUAACAUACACUAAGUUGACUGCCUUAAACAGCUUGUAAAAUUCCAGAAAAUGAUGUCAUGGCUUCAGAAGCUUCUGAUGGGCUAAUUGACAUAAUUUGAGUCAAUUGGAGGUGUACCUGUGGAUAUAUUUCAAGGCCUACCUUCAAACUCAGUGCCUCUUUGCUUGACAUUGGAAAAUCAACAGAAAUCAGACAAGACCUCAGAAAAAUAUUUGAGACCUUCAAAAGCCUGGUUCGUCCUUGGGAGAAAUUUCCAAACGCCUGAAGGUACCACGUUCAUCUGUACAAACAAUAGUACGCAAGUAUAAACACCAUGGGACCACGCUCCAAAACCGCCGUAAAAUAGCCAGAUUACGGUUUGCAACUGCACAUGGGGACAAAGAUGGUUCUUUUUAGAGAAAUGUCCUCUGGUCUGAUGAAACAAAAAUAGAACUGUUUGGCCAUAAUGACCAUCGUUAUGUUUGGAGGAAAAAGGGGGAGGCUUGCAAGCCAAAGAAUACCAUCCCAACUGUGAAGCACGGGGGUGGUAGCAUCAUGUUUGCUGCAGGAGGGUCUGGUGCACUUCACAAAAUAGAUGGCAUCAUGACGGAGUAAAAUGAUGUGGACAUAUUGAAGCAAC
ensembl:lncRNA